CCGGUACCUUUGGUUCUUCAACCCCCAAUUCUUUUUUACCUAAUUUUUUUUCCAUCCAACCACCCUCCUCUCUAGCGACAAAAGUAAUCCUUCGACGCCUCUCCUACACUAAACACCAACCCUGCAUCGUUAGCUUCCCAUGGAGGAAUUGAUUCAAAUACCCCCAAGUCUAAUUCUAUUUCAUAGUAAUUUCUCGUCUAUAAUCUGAAUCUAAUGCAAAUCGGGAUGAAAUUAUGGCUCUUGCGAAAGAACUUCAGGUUCAAAUAUGGAGAGGUAAAGAUAGAGGCAUGAAAAACCCAUUCAAAAACAAAGACAAAUUAUUCAAGAAUGAUGAAAAAUUCUUAUAUAUAUAUAUAUAUAUAUA